CCAGAGUGUGACCUCAAGAGGGUGGUGUCAGCUCAAAGGCCACUCAGCUGCUCUCAGCUGUCUUUGCUGGAAUGGAAAGAGAUCUUGUUGUAAGAGGAGCGUUGGAUGAACCAGCCCCAACCCAGGGUCUAGAGUUUGAGGAGUGACAAGGGCAGAUCUCUAAGGAAGCGAAACUCCUCUGAGACCCGACAGGGAACCAGCUUCCUCGAGGAACCUGAGUGAAAGGAGGACCUGUCACCUGAGCCUCCUCAGGUCAUCCAUCGUCCUCGAAGGAUCCAUCCUGAGGCAUCAACUGAAAAUUAUGGCUCCUGAGAAAGAAUAAAGCACACUGUUCACUGCCAGGAUGAGUGUCCCUGUGGCAGCAUCUAGAGCUUGCCUGUUGCUCCUGCUAACGACCUCUGUCCCCCGUGUGGCCCUUUCUUUCUGUCACUUCUGUAGCUGUACUGUUGACAACUCUUCUCUAGGUGUCUCUGAAGCCCUGAAAGGCCUCUCAGCUUGGCAUGGCCCCCCGCCCCGCCCCAGCUCGCUCUCUUGAUGCCCAUGUGUGUGACUUGACAGCAUUCCUGCCUUGCUGGCCCACUGCCCCACUCCAAGGAAGGACGCUCUCAAGGUCCAGGUCCCUGGCAGGUAAACAGCAAAGUUUCAGAUUCACAGACAUCCUCUCCCUCCUGCACCAACUGCCCACCAGGAAAGUGGGAGCUUGGCGCUGCUUGCAAAGGACUAGGUGAUGUAUGAGCCUGUCUGCGGGCGCCAGGUCCUGAUCUGUGUCCCUGUGAAUAAGAAGCCACUUAAGAGUGUCAGGCAAUCAGGGACUGCCCCUCCUCCUGCCUUCGACCUUGCCUCAGCUUUUGUGGAGUCUGUGGGGUGAUGUGAUAGAGGCUGUGUAGUCAGAUCAGCACCACAGAGGGAGAACAUGGAGAUGGUGUGGUCUCUCCUCCCCAACAGCGUAUUCUGUGUUGCUAGUGUGAGUGCUGCCCAGGGACCCACGAGAUCAGUGUUGACCAAUAGAACUGGGUGAAGGACGUGGGAAUUUGGGUCAGAGACUUCUAUCAGAAGAUGAAAGUCAUCCAGGCAGAGCCUACUGAUUCUGUCCCACACAAUCCACUCUGCCCUCAGUGAAUGAGCAUCAAGUCGAUGGUGAAUGUGGCAUUGACCUAUACCUGCUUUGAGCAUGGGUCUGUCUCCUGCCCUGUGCCCCAGUGUUAAACACACCAUCCUGGUGACAGUGUUAUGUCCCUGUAGGAGAACAUGGAUGCUGGCACAUCUGAGAUUUACCCCGGGGAGAGCAGAGCCUCGCAUGAGACAUGAGUGCAGUCAGCAUCCAGGCUUUGCAGGGCACACCACAUCCCAGGACACCACACGUGAGGGUAGCCAAGGGAGGCCACUGUUGCUAGCUUCUCUUGCCUCCUGUCCCUAACCAGCUUGGUCACUUUCCAGAGUCAUUUCCCCUGGCCUCCAGGUUGGGACAUCUGGCAGGAUCCAGGAAUCCUGACGUCACACUCACAAUUUAACUGUCCACAUGUUUUCUUUCUGUGUAGAACAGGAAACAGUGAGACAGUGUCCAGGCAAUUUCGUCCCAGAUGUGUGACAUACAGGAUCUUAGAUAGCUGCGAGCUGACAGGCCUUUCUACACAAAAGCCCUCACAGUCCUUCCCGAUUGCUUUGAUAGGCUCUGGGCAGGACUCGGAGGUUGAGGUCUGCAGCACUGGGUGAUGGGGUAUACCUUGAGACAUGCAAAGUCCCAAAGCACGAACAGGCUACCUAGAAAGUUCUUCAGGUGAAAUGGAGACAAUAGCUCCUGGAACUAAGCCCUUCGCACCUACCAUUCUGAAACCCAAGAAUGGUUCCCUGGUUGAUAAAGGCUGCAGUAUGUCUCCCAGAGCCUCUCUUCACGCUCACCAUGGGCUUGUUUCCCCAGGGCGGCUGGGCAGUGGGUAGCACAGUGUUUGCUGGGUAUUGCAGAGCAAGGAAGGGUGUGAAUGGCCUUGAGAAAGCCCUUCGCAAUCCAGGGCCCUACAGGCCUGCAGGGGAGAGACCCAGCAGAGAAUAGGAAUCUGAUGGGUGAGACCAUUUUCCUUAAGCAAGGCUGGCAGGACUGUGUGCGUGCGUGCGUGUGUGUGUGUGUGUGUGUGUGUGUGUGUGUGUGUGUGUAACAUGCUAAUCAAUACUAUCUUUUGAAGAGAGGAAAGGAGGUUGGUUCCUGACAGAGUUGUGAGGAGGAUGGAGAGGAGAAGACCCUGGCGCAGACCCCCACCUGGCCCCACCUCCUGCGAGGUGUCAGGGCAACAUCAGUGGAAUGAGAACCCUGCUGAGCACAUGGGGCAGCUGUUUCCGUGGGACCUGCUGUCCUGACCUGGGAGUGCCAUGCUGGGGACAUGCUGAGGACCACAGGUGAUUUGAUGUAGGAGGUGCAGGAGUGGCCUCCAGGGGCACAGCCCACCUCCACUGACCCCCUGGCUCCCUGAGGCAGAGACACGGGUGCAGAGCUGGCCUAUCACAUGCUCUUUCCUGGUACCCUGAGUUUUUGGGUGAAUGAAGAAAAGGAGGGAGGAGAGAGAGGGUGGUGACUCCUCCAGGGGACAUGCCCCAGGAUCUGAGCUUAGGGUGGAGCUGCUACGCCCUGGCCACCAUGGCUUCUGGUUUUCCAACCUGGUCUCCCCACCCUGUGAAGAGCCCACUAUCACACAUUGUCCUGGC
rnacentral:lncRNA from 1 species